rnacentral:rRNA from 1 species
CGGAUGAGUUGCGAACGGGUGAGUAACGCGUAGGUAACCUGCCUGGUAGCGGGGGAUAACUAUUGGAAACGAUAGCUAAUACCGCAUAACAGUCGACAUUGCAUGAUGUUGAUUUGAAAGGGGCAAUUGCUCCACUACCAGAUGGACCUGCGUUGUAUUAGCUAGUUGGUGAGGUAACGGCUCACCAAGGCGACGAUACAUAGCCGACCUGAGAGGGUGAUCGGCCACACUGGGACUGAGACACGGCCCAGACUCCUACGG